GGGUUGUGAGGUUAAGCGACUAAGCGUACACGGUGGAUGCCCUGGCAGUCAGAGGCGAUGAAGGGCGUGCUAAUCUGCGAUAAGCGCCGGUAAGGUGAUAUGAACCGUUAUAACCGGCGAUACCCGAAUGGGGAAACCCAGUGUGAUUCGUCACACUAUCAUUAACUGAAUCCAUAGGUUAAUGAGGCGAACCGGGGGAACUGAAACAUCUAAGUACCCCGAGGAAAAGAAAUCAACCGAGAUUCCCCCAGUAGCGGCGAGCGAACGGGGAGGAGCCCAGAGCCUGAAUCAGCAUGUGUGUUAGUGGAAGCGUCUGGAAAGGCGCGCGAUACAGGGUGACAGCCCCGUACACAAAAGCGCAUGUGCUGUGAGCUCGAUGAGUAGGGCGGGACACGUGGUAUCCUGUCUGAAUAUGGGGGGACCAUCCUCCAAGGCUAAAUACUCCUGACUGACCGAUAGUGAACCAGUACCGUGAGGGAAAGGCGAAAAGAACCCCGGCGAGGGGAGUGAAAAAGAACCUGAAACCGUGUACGUACAAGCAGUGGGAGCACAGGUUUACCUGUGUGACUGCGUACCUUUUGUAUAAUGGGUCAGCGACUUAUAUUCUGUAGCAAGGUUAACCGAAUAGGGGAGCCGGAGGGAAACCGAGUCUUAAUUGGGCGUUAAGUUGCAGGGUAUAGACCCGAAACCCGGUGAUCUAGCCAUGGGCAGGUUGAAGGUUGGGUAACACUAACUGGAGGACCGAACCGACUAAUGUUGAAAAAUUAGCGGAUGACCUGUGGCUGGGGGUGAAAGGCCAAUCAAACCGGGAGAUAGCUGGUUCUCCCCGAAAGCUAUUUAGGUAGCGCCUCGUGAAUUCAUCUCCGGGGGUAGAGCACUGUUUCGGCUAGGGGGCCAUCCCGGCUUACCAACCCGAUGCAAACUGCGAAUACCGGAGAAUGUUAUCACGGGAGACACACGGCGGGUGCUAACGUCCGUCGUGAAGAGGGAAACAACCCAGACCGCCAGCUAAGGUCCCAAAGUCAUGGUUAAGUGGGAAACGAUGUGGGAAGGCCCAGACAGCCAGGAUGUUGGCUUAGAAGCAGCCAUCAUUUAAAGAAAGCGUAAUAGCUCACUGGUCGAGUCGGCCUGCGCGGAAGAUGUAACGGGGCUAAACCAUGCACCGAAGCUGCGGCAGCGACGCUGAUGCGUUGUUGGGUAGGGGAGCGUUCUGUAAGCCUGUGAAGGUGGCCUGUGAGGGUUGCUGGAGGUAUCAGAAGUGCGAAUGCUGACAUAAGUAACGAUAAAGCGGGUGAAAAGCCCGCUCGCCGGAAGACCAAGGGUUCCUGUCCAACGUUAAUCGGGGCAGGGUGAGUCGACCCCUAAGGCGAGGCCGAAAGGCGUAGUCGAUGGGAAACGGGUUAAUAUUCCCGUACUUGGUGUUACUGCGAAGGGGGACGGAGAAGGCUAUGUUGGCCGGGCGACGGUUGUCCCGGUUUAAGCGUGUAGGUGUGUGUUCCAGGUAAAUCCGGUUCACUUUAACACUGAGGCGUGACGACGAGGCACUACGGUGCUGAAGCAACAAAUGCCCUGCUUCCAGGAAAAGCCUCUAAGCAUCAGGUAACAUCAAAUCGUACCCCAAACCGACACAGGUGGUCAGGUAGAGAAUACCAAGGCGCUUGAGAGAACUCGGGUGAAGGAACUAGGCAAAAUGGUGCCGUAACUUCGGGAGAAGGCACGCUGACACGUAGGUGAAGUGAUUUACUCAUGGAGCUGAAGUCAGUCGAAGAUACCAGCUGGCUGCAACUGUUUAUUAAAAACACAGCACUGUGCAAACACGAAAGUGGACGUAUACGGUGUGACGCCUGCCCGGUGCCGGAAGGUUAAUUGAUGGGGUCAGCGCAAGCGAAGCUCCUGAUCGAAGCCCCGGUAAACGGCGGCCGUAACUAUAACGGUCCUAAGGUAGCGAAAUUCCUUGUCGGGUAAGUUCCGACCUGCACGAAUGGCGUAAUGAUGGCCAGGCUGUCUCCACCCGAGACUCAGUGAAAUUGAACUCGCUGUGAAGAUGCAGUGUACCCGCGGCAAGACGGAAAGACCCCGUGAACCUUUACUAUAGCUUGACACUGAACAUUGAGCCUUGAUGUGUAGGAUAGGUGGGAGGCUUUGAAGCGUGGACGCCAGUCUGCGUGGAGCCGACCUUGAAAUACCACCCUUUAAUGUUUGAUGUUCUAACGUGGACCCGUAAUCCGGGUUGCGGACAGUGUCUGGUGGGUAGUUUGACUGGGGCGGUCUCCUCCUAAAGAGUAACGGAGGAGCACGAAGGUUGGCUAAUCCUGGUCGGACAUCAGGAGGUUAGUGCAAUGGCAUAAGCCAGCUUGACUGCGAGCGUGACGGCGCGAGCAGGUGCGAAAGCAGGUCAUAGUGAUCCGGUGGUUCUGAAUGGAAGGGCCAUCGCUCAACGGAUAAAAGGUACUCCGGGGAUAACAGGCUGAUACCGCCCAAGAGUUCAUAUCGACGGCGGUGUUUGGCACCUCGAUGUCGGCUCAUCACAUCCUGGGGCUGAAGUAGGUCCCAAGGGUAUGGCUGUUCGCCAUUUAAAGUGGUACGCGAGCUGGGUUUAGAACGUCGUGAGACAGUUCGGUCCCUAUCUGCCGUGGGCGCUGGAGAACUGAGGGGGGCUGCUCCUAGUACGAGAGGACCGGAGUGGACGCAUCACUGGUGUUCGGGUUGUCAUGCCAAUGGCACUGCCCGGUAGCUAAAUGCGGAAGAGAUAAGUGCUGAAAGCAUCUAAGCACGAAACUUGCCCCGAGAUGAGUUCUCCCUGAGACUUAAAGUCUCCUGAAGGAACGUUGAAGACGACGACGUUGAUAGGCCGGGUGUGUAAGCGCAGCGAUGCGUUGAGCUAACCGGUACUAAUGAACCGUGAGGCUUAACCUUACAACGCCGAAG
rnacentral:rRNA from 1 species